UGGGGAAUAUUGGACAAUGGGGGCAACCCUGAUCCAGCAAUGCCGCGUGUGUGAAGAAGGUCUUCGGAUUGUAAAGCACUUUCGACGGGGACGAUGAUGACGGUACCCGUAGAAGAAGCCCCGGCUAACUUCGUGCCAGCAGCCGCGGUAAUACGAAGGGGGCUAGCGUUGCUCGGAAUGACUGGGCGUAAAGGGCGUGUAGGCGGUUUACACAGUCAGAUGUGAAAUCCCCCGGGCUUAACCUGGGAGCUG
rnacentral:rRNA from 1 species